rnacentral:rRNA from 1 species
GGAGUUUGGACCGUGUCUCAGUUCCAAUGUGGGGGACCUUCCUCUCAGAACCCCUACUGAUCGUCGCCUUGGUGGGCCGUUACCCCGCCAACAAGCUAAUCAGACGCAUCCCCAUCCAUUACCGUUGAAAACUUUGGUCUCGCUUAGAUGUCUGCACGAGACCGCAUCAGGGAUUAAUCCAGUUUUCACUGGGCUAUACCUGAGUAAUGGGCAGGUUGGAUACGCGUUACUCACCCGUGCGCCGGUCGCCGUCGUACUGGUGCAAGCACCUGUACACGCUGCCCCUCGACUUGCAUGUGUUAAGCCUGUAGCUAGCGUUCAUC